UAUUUGUUGAGCUUCAGAUGUUAACAAGGGCUUUGUUUGGUUAUCAGCCCUUCCAUGCUGUGCCCAUCCGGAGCAGAAGGCUGUCCGCCACCCUGCUGCCCUCACCUCAGGCCAGGUGGCUCCUGCCCAGUGGAGCCGUGCGUGCGUGUGGAGCCCUGCGCACAGCUGUGUCCCUGACAUACUUUCGCACAGCAUCUGACAGCAUGCGAGAGGUUAACUUACAGUGGCACGUACAGUUUACCAAACCAGAUAUUUAGUUCUCUGGAAAUUUCAGGUGGGGUGGAAACGGUCCUGGUAGCACUCUGCAAUCUGGAUCUGGCCUGAGCAUUGAUCCCAUGGAUCCCAUCAACUGUUCCUCAGUGGGGAUGGCAACAGGUGAGGCGUUUGGUACCAGAGGGGCUGCUGCUGGCUCAAGAGCCUCCCCAUGGAGCUGGAAUGAUGUGUGCAACCCCACGCCUGGGGCUAGAGCUGGAGGUCUGCUUUGCUGGGUCAACACAAUCAAGAGGAGUACCCAAAGUGAAAACCAGCCACUAGUGAGCAGAAGCCUCCACUUAGCUUUGCGCAGUGAUGCCCUGGUCAUUUUCCAAAGUGGUCGCAGUUCAUUUAGAAAUCGGCGAUGUACGUGAGGAGACAGAGUGACCGCCGUCCAGCGGGCCUGGCCCUGCAUUGGUCGGAAAAGAAACUCUAGAUGACUUAAUAAAUAUCUUCUGUGUCCAAAUUUUGUCA
rnacentral:lncRNA from 1 species